CCAAUCGCGUAUAUUAAAGUUGUUGCAGUUAAAAAGCUCGUAGUUGAACUUCGGGGUCUACCCAUUGGUCAGGCUUAAUUGUCUGUACUGGUGAGAUGGAUCUCUACCUUCUGAGGAACUUUCAUGCCAUUUAUUUGGUGUGGUUGGAAAUCAGGACUGUUACUUUGAAAAAAUUAGAGUGUUUAAAGCAGACUAUCGUCUGAAUACAUUAGCAUGGAAUAAUGAAAUAGGACGGACUGAUUCUAUUUCGUUGGUUUCUAGGAUCACCGUAAUGAUUAAUAGGGAUAGUUGGGGGCAUUAGUAUUCAAUUGUCAGAGGUGAAAUUCUUGGAUUUAUUGAAGACUAACUACUGCGAAAGCAUUUGCCAAGGAUGUUUUCAUUAAUCAAGAACGAAAGUUAGGGGAUCGAAGACGAUCAGAUACCGUCGUAGUCUUAACCAUAAACUAUGCCGACUAGGGAUCGGACGAAGUUAAUUUUAUAAUGACGCGUUCGGCACCUUACG
rnacentral:rRNA from 1 species